AGUGAACCGAUCUGCUAGCAGAAACACGGUCUUCACACAAGAGCCAUGAACUUCUCCAAAAAGAACAAAACCUCCAGAGCAUUUCCUCCAGCAAAGUUGUACCACCAGCUUGAGGAGAACACUCUGAAUCACUCCAGAAAGCGCUGAGAAAUCUCAACAUUAAUUUUUCCAAUACUUCAAAUCACUACUAUGUCGCUUCCUCCUCUGUCGGCGUUUCGACCCCGGGGGGUCCCUCGACCGACGAGUAAAUUGUCGCUGCGUGCCCCAGCCCAGAUGGGUUGGCGCGAGACGGAAUACGAAGGGGAAAAAACCUCGGCUCGUGUUAUCCUGCGCCAGAGUGGGUGCGCUUGCAGUAGGGGUUACAAGCGUCCACGAGGGAGAGAGGGAGUCCCGCGCGACCACCCUCCGUAUGAGGGCCCUGACCCUUCCUUUUAUAGAUGCAAGGAGAGGGUCCAGGUGUACAAUGGGGGUGUAGCAAUAUGCUAACGUGUUCGGCAGAGAGGAGCCAGAGCCCUAUGUACAUGCCAACGUGGCUGUCGGAGAGGUGCUAGAGCCCUGUAUACGCGGUGUCGUGGCCGUCGGAGGAGCGUUUGAGCCCUGUAGAAGCACAGCUGUCGGGGCUGUCGGGACCUUGCUGACGUCUCCUUGCUUCCGUAAGGGGCUGAGAGCCACCGUCGUCAUGGACGCACGCGGGGAGCCAUCAUUACUUGUAACCGGGGCGAGCCUGGAUGGGACACCGGUCUUGUCCCCCCGUAGCCUGAGCUAGCUAGGGGUAGGGUGAUGAUGUACCCCCUGCGGCGUGGUCGGUCCGAGCCCAAGGUCGGGCGAGGCGGAGACCCCUCCCGAGGCUGAGGUCGGGGUCGGGCGUGGACGCGAUUCCUUCCGAGGUCGAGGUUGAGGCCGGGCCCUGGGGUCGGGUGAGGCGGAGACCACCUUCCGAGGUCAAGGUUGAGGCCGAGCCUUGGGGUCGGGCGAGGCGGAGACCACCUUCCGAGGUCGAGGUUGAGGCCGAGCCUUGGGGUCGGGCGAGGCGGAGACCACCUUCCGAGGUCGAGGUUGAGGCCGAGCCUUGGGGUCGGGCGAGGCGGAGACCACCUUCUGAGGCCGAGGCGGGGGCCGAGCCCUGGGGUCGGGCGAGGCGGAGACUUCUCCUGAGGCCGAGGCCCAAGGUCGGGCGAGGCGGAGCUUCCUGUGGCGCCUGAGGCUGGACUCAGCUGCUGUCAGCCUCACCUUGGCGGGUGGCAGAGCAGUCGGAGAGGGGCGAGCGGCGCUGUCUUCCUGUCAGGUCAGUCAGUGGGAGGGAGAAGUGACUGCGUUCACUUCGACCUUGCCGACUGAAGCACGCGUGUCAGGAUAAGGCGCCAGGCGAUCCUUGCAUUGAAUGCGCCUGCGAUACGGUCGGUUGGUGAGGCGAUUUGGCCAAGGUUGCUUCACUACGAAGCCUGCCCGAGCUGGGCUUCGGGCGAGUCGAGGGAGCGCCCGUUGCUUGAGGAGGCCCUCGGGCGAGGCGUGAAUCCGUCUGGGACUACUGUUCCCGCCCGAGGCUGGGCUCGGGCGAGGCGAGAUCGCGUCCCUUGAGUAGACGAAGCCUUGACCUGAAUUGCGCCCAUCAGCCUCUGCAGUUUGCGCUGAUGGUGAUUACCAGCCGAGUUUAGGAGUGUUGGGGGUACCCCUAAUUAUGGUACCCGACAUCCUCCAUCGAUGCUCUUGAAGCUGAAAAUCCAAGAAUGCACCUCCUCUACCUUUUUCUCCAACAUGAUUUGCUCAUCUUCAGAUAGCAACACCUUCCAUUUCUGCAAAAACGGAACAGCAUCACGGAGGAGCACAAAAGGGCUGCAUGGGAACUCUUUCUCGAACACCAUCUUAUUUCUAUUACGCCAUAAGGCCUAGACCAUGCCUGCAAGCAGAAAUAAACGAAAAAGAUAAGCCCUCUUAGGUUUCGCUUCAAUCCAGAAGCAAAACAUCUCUUCCAACGAGCUGGGAAUAUUGUUCCUUCCAAAAACUUGCCUCAAACAACUCCACACAAAAUAUGCCAAGGAGCACUGAAAGAAUAUAUGAUCCACUGUUUCUUGCUUUUGACAUAAUGCACAAAGAUCACUACCCUUCUAACCCUUUUUUCAGCACCGCGCCUGCCUGAAUUUUCCGGUUACAUAAUUGCCACAAAAAAACUUUAAUCCGCAAGGGCACCUUUAACUUCCAAGUAUUUUUAUACAUAUCUUUUCUAAUCCCUCCAUCAGUCAUAAACCUAUACAUAGACUGAGUUGUGAAAGUUUUAGAUUUGUCUAGGGCUCAUAUCACCUCAUCUCUCCCAUGAGUGAGCUCCUGAUCGUCAAGCAUAGUUAUAAAUUCAUCCCAAACCUGAAAAUCAGCAAUCGUCAGGGGCCGCUUGAGGUCGAUAUUCCACUCCCCGUCCUCAUAAUAAUCUACAACUAUGGCAUCUUUGUCCAUGCAAAUGUCAAAGAAUCUAUGAUAUACUAAUUUUAGGGGCACAUCCCCCGCCAGGUAUCUUUCCAAAAGAGGGUACCUUCCCCGUUCCUAACUUUAUUAAUAGCACCCCAUUUGAACAGGUGUUUAACCUUGUGCAACCCUUUCCAAAAUUGAGACGCAUCUCUAUCCGACGACAGGAAAAAUUUCCCUUGCUCAUGUAUUUCCCUUUGAUAAGUUUGAACCAAGUGUCAUUAGACCCCAGAGCAAUUUUCCAUAUCCAUUUUAUCAACAAACAUUAAUUCAUCAAUCUGCUGUCAAGGAUGCCGAGACCACCUUGGUCUUUUGGUCUAGUUACCAUCUCCCAUUUUGCCAUGUGAUAGCAUUUUUUCUUUUCAGCUCCUUGCCAAAAGAAGUUAGAUCUAAUCGAAUUCAUUUUAUAAUGAAACUCUUUAGGGAGGAGAUAAAAACCCAUGCAAUACAUAGGUAGACUAUUGAGACAAGAGUUAGUUAGAAUUAAUCUCCCCCUAGAAGAGAGGUGCUUGCCCUUCCAUGGGUCUAGCCUUUUCCUCAUUUUCUCCAAAAUAGGCUCCAAAAUUACCGAGUUAAUAUUAUGAUUAGAGAUAGAUAUACCUAGAUAUUUCAUCGGAAAGGAUCCCAAGGAACAGUUAAGCAUAUUGG
rnacentral:lncRNA from 1 species